rnacentral:rRNA from 1 species
UACCAGCUCUCCGAGUGGUGUGGAUGUUUAUUGGGCCUAAAGCAUCCGUAGCUGGCCAAGCCAGUCCCCUGUUAAACCCACCGAAUUAAUCGUUGGAUUGCGGGGGAUACUGCUCGGCUAGGGGACGAGAGAGGCCGACGGUAUUCUCGGGGUAGGGGUGAAAUCCUAUAAUCCCGGGAAGACCACCAGUGGCGAAGGCUGUCGGCUAGAACGAGCCCGACGGUGAGGGAUGAAAGCUGGGGGAGCAAACCGGAUUAGAUACCCGGGUAGUCCCAGCUGUAAACGAUGCAGGCUAGGUGUUUGGACGGCCACGCGCCGUUCUAGUGCCGCAGGGAAGCUGUUAAGCCUGCCGCCUGGGGAGUACGAUCACAAGAUUGAAACUUAAAGGAAUUGGCGGGGGAGCACCACAAGGGGUGAAGCUUGCGGUUUAAUUGGAGUCAACACCGGAAAUCUCACCGGGAGCGACAGCAGGUUGAAGGCCAGAUUAAAGGUCUUGCCAGACGAGCUGAGAGGAGGUGCAUGGCCGUCGCCAGUUCGUGCCGUGAGGUGUCCUGUUAAGUCAGGCAACGAUCGAGACCCGCGUCCUCUGUUGCAACUAGCCUAGAGCUGGGCACACUGAGGAGACCGCCGCUGAUAAAGCGGAGGAAGGAGCGGGCCACGGCAGGUCAGUAUGCCCCGAAUCUCCCGGGCCACACGCGAGCUGCAAUGGCAGGUACAAUGGGUUCCGACCUCGUAAGGGGAAGGCAAUCUCGAAAGCCUGCCGUAGUUGGGAUUGAGGGUUGAAACCCACCCUCAUGAACAUGGAAUCCCUAGUAAUCGCGUGUCACUAGCGCGCGGUGAAUACGUCCCUGCUCCU